rnacentral:tRNA from 1 species
GCCGGAGUAGCUCAGUCGGUAGAGCAGCUGAUUUGUAAUCAGCCGGUCGGGGGUUCAAGUCCCUUCUCCGGCU